UACGGAGGGUGCAAGCGUUAUCCGGAUUCACUGGGUUUAAAGGGUGCGUAGGUGGGUUGGUAAGUCAGUGGUAAAAUCUCCAGGCUUAACUUGGAAACUGCCAUUGAUACUAUCAAUCUUGAAUACCGUGGAGGUCAGCGGAAUAUGUCAUGUAGCGGUGAAAUGCUUAGAUAUGGCAUAGAACACCAAUUGCGGAGGCAGCUGGCUACACGAAUAUUGACACUGAUGCGCGAAAGCGUGGGGAUCAAACAGG
rnacentral:rRNA from 1 species